GCGUAGUGUCGCUCGAGCCUCGCCGGCGCCACCGCCCAGGUAGUUACGGGGCGGCGGGGGGCGGCUGGAGAAUAUCUAGAUUUGUGUCGCAAAGGGCGCAAUAUCUCGCCGAAUUAAAAUUCCAGCAGGUGGGCUGACGGGACCACCUGCAGCCAGGAGAACUUGGGGGAACCUCCAAGUACAAACUGCAGAUGUGGCAACAGCUGGUGUCUAAUCCCUGAGGGCACAGUCUCUCCUCCCUCCUUCCCCAGUGAAAGUGAAGACGGUUACCUACCUCACAGAAUCCUUGUGAGGAUGAAUGAACUAAUUCAUGUUUGAAGAAAAAAAUGAUUCUGACACUUGCCGUAAAGGAGGGGAGAGACCACGUGGAAACCUGAAAGACUGCCUGGGUGGGUCCUAAGAUCCUAUCAAGACACAGACUCCCUCCAGAUAUGAAGAACGGAGUUUUCCAGGUGGUUGUGAGGUCUUCUGCAGGGCCGCGGGGCCCACUGGCCUAUUUGAAUGUCCCUUUUGGAGACACAGCUGUCCAGCCCCCUGAGCAGAAUAGCACAUCUGCCAGAGUAACGGAGAGCUGGUAAGCUUCAGAGAGAGGCCAGACAGAUGGCUACGCUGGGCACGAUUGUUUGGGAUUCAGAGCCCAGAGGACUAGCUGGACCAGAGAAACGAGUUUGAGUCCUAACUUCGUCCACUUACUGGUUUUACUUGAGCAUGUCACUUUGCCUCUCUGUGCUUCAGUUUUCUGAUCUGUAAAAUGAGGGAAAUAAUAUCUUCCUUGAAGGAUAGUUAUUUUGAAUUUGUUAAUAAGGAUUUGUUAAUAUAUAAAAACAUUUAGAACAUUGCCUGGCAGACAGCACUCGAUCAGGACUUGCUACUGUUUUGAUAUUCAUUAUGUUAAUUAUCAUUAAUUAUUGUUACUGGCAUAGUACGUAGAAAAGAGGAAUUCCUCAAUAGCUAUUGGAUAUUAUAACAUUGUUAUUAUAUUGUUUCCUUCUAAGAGAUGUCUCCUAUAAACCUAGAUCCUAGAGGUGUUUAAUCCAAGCAUGUAGAUAUGUAAUAAAACUGAUCACCUCGUAAGGAGAAAAGGCAAAACAAACAAUUCCUGGGAUUAGAGCUGACAUUUAUUAAGUACAGUUUUGUGGCAGACAAUGUGAAAAGUGCUCAUAAUAAAUAUUCAUAACAACC